UACGGGGGGGGCAAGCGUUGUUCGGAAUUACUGGGCGUAAAGGGCUCGUAGGCGGCCAACUAAGUCGGACGUGAAAUCCCCCGGCUUAACCUGGGAACUGCGUCUGAUACUGGGAGGCUUGAGUAUGGGAGAGGGAUGUAGAAUUCCAGGUGUAGCGGUGAAAUGCGUAGAUAUCUGGAGGAAUACCGGUGGCGAAGGCGGCAUCCUGGACCAUAACUGACGCUGAGGCGCGAAAGCUAGGGGAGCAAACGGG
rnacentral:rRNA from 1 species